rnacentral:tRNA from 1 species
AGCAACAAGAGAAAUAAACUCACCUUUGGCUUACAAGACCAACGCUCUUUUUUGAGCUAUUAUUGC